CACCCAGGGCAAAAGGAAGCCUAAAACAAGAGAAACAAGGACUUCUGUGGGGGCCGGUGGAAGGAAACAACUCUGAACAGCCAAAGAUAUGAACUUCAGAGAGAAAGAAAAAAACCAAAGGUUCGUGUACACAGGGAGAACACCAAGUCACGCCCUGACUGUGGCUUGGGCUGACUCAGCUGCCCGUGAAUCCAGUCUUUUCAAGCUGACUUCGAAGAAGCCCAGUGGCUCCAUAUCCAGAACACAGCAAAUUCUGCAUUUCAGGCCCCUUCAGGACCUGG